CUUGGCGGCCUUAGCGCGGUGGUCCCACCUGACCCCAUACUGAACUCAGAAGUGAAACGCCGUAGCGCCGAUGGUAGUGUGGGGUUUCCCCAUGCGAGAGUAGGAAACUGCCAGGU
rnacentral:rRNA from 1 species